CCCCUCCGCCCGGGGCGGGAGCGGGAAGAUGGUGCCCGGGCGGGCGGGGGUCGGUGAGGUUCUCAAACUGAUCCUUGCUGCUUAGAGAGCUCAGUUCCCAAGGUUCCUCCCACUUGCUCUAGUGGGGCAUGGCACAGCAGAUACCUGGAGCCACACCACACAAGCCUCAGGUUCUCCCUUGGAUGAGAGAUUCUACAGCCAUGUUUCAACAAUUCAAACAUAUGUCUUGGCCCCGUGUCAUCAGCUGCGCAGGCCUUACCAGCUCUUCCAGUGCCCCAGGAAGAGAGGCACAAUCCUGAGUGGGGGCACUGCCCGGGUACCCUCCUGAGAUACGGCUGAGAGGGCAACUCAGCAAACGCAUGGCAGAGGGGAACCAAGUACCUAUGUUAUCUCAGUUCAUCCAGGACAUGUUUUCAGUUGGGCUCAACAUCUGUUCAUAUUAAAACGGCAUCUGCUUUGAGAUGGGAAAUUUGAAGGAGAAAACAUAAGAGGAAUGCUGGAGUAGCAAGUAUUGCCUCAGCAAAGCCAGUCUCUGGCUUUAUUUGAUAAACACCGCACAUAUCCGCACAUAUUUCCUUUAAUAAAUUAAUCAAAUCGAUUUUUAAGCACUGUUACAUUGUUUCCCCUUAUAACUCUCAUUGGAAAGUUUUUUCAGAAACCCACUAGUUUGUUCUAAUGUGAGUAAAAAUCAGCUUGGGUACCUUGAUACCUACCGUGUGCUUUAAUUUGAAGAGCACGCUUCCUUUCAUGUGCUUCCUUCACUCAAAAUUUACUUUAAAGUCCCGCUCUCACUGAUGGUCCUGCACUGGGAGCUGCCCUUACGGAGCACCCGGCAUUGUUGCUGUUUCCAGUGUUUUACGUCAUUCGUGUGUUGUUUUCUUCACUCAUUGCCAGUGCCCUAAAGUAAUCAGUAUAAGUCAUUUGCUCCAAGCGCAACAAUUUUACUACAAUGAAUUGCAUUUGCUGUCACUUUCCUAUGUGUGUUUAAGGUGUUUUCCUUAAUUAUUCCAUUCAUACAUUUCUGCAGGAUUUUGAAUUAGCCACUCGGCGGGCAGGGUUGGAUUGACAGCCCAGAAUUCAGUGUUCAUUUGUCCUGCCCUGCAUUACAGGAUUUUUUUCUUUUCCAUUGGCAAUGUUCAUGGAUUAUUAGCAGAAGGAAUGGAGAUCAAAUUAACAAAGCUGUAUGCUUCCUUUGCUGACAUUAAGUAAAUCCUGCACAUUUUGAGUCAUUUCAGCCAUUCAAUCCAUUUUAAGCCAUUUUCGAACCGCUGUCAGACAGCCAGGAGAAUCUACUGCUGAGCUCUGCUAUUCUUAAGGAGAAAAUGUUGCACUUGCAUUUGGAGUAGCUUAUUAAUUUUGCUUUCUAAGUAAAGCUAAAGAUCAAAUAUAAAACGUGAUUGAAAAACAAGCCAAGAGUUUCCAGUGCUACCUGACAUAAAUCACAACCUGCCACCAGCCAGUGACCAACUCCAUCCCACUAGGCAGUGCUGCCUUGGACCAUGAUGUGUCAGAAGCCUUGUCCCCAUCACCUUUGGUCAGGGAGAGGUCAGCUCCAGUUCGGGGAGCACCGAUGGGCAGCACUGCCGAGCAGGGACGAGGUUCUGUGAGGGUGUCUUCUGUAACGUCCAGGGACAAUUAAGCCUACAGCUUCUGACAGCCGUGACCCUUGUGGCUCCAUGUGGACCUCUAUAUGGAGGUACGUGACACGGAAGCGGCAUUGCUGGCCUACUGGGAGAGUUUGAAUGAAGACGAGAUGGCAGACCAGUUGAUUGAAAUGGGACUCAGCGCUGAGCACUGCUACCAGGAAAGUGCUUAAGAGUGAAAGUGCAAAUACGUAGUGACUUCUGUUCCUCAUCAGAUUACUUACCAUGGUUCAAGAAGCCAAGAGCAUUGAUUUAAAAACAUGUUGGUCAUGGACAUAGAAAACUCGGAGGCAAAGUAACUACACUUCUGGAAUGUCGUUUGCCUCUGUAGAGAAAACCUCAAAGAGAAAGCAAAAUGCCUUUCCGAGGAGCAGCUAUUUAUAGGGCCAUGGCAGCCACCGGAGAGGGACAUCCCAGGAAGCCCAGCUCUUUCACCGGGUGUUGUUUUUGGAAUAAGAAAAAGGUCACAUUCUGAGGCAACAAUAGUUUAAGUCUUUGUGAACAGCCCCUUCUUUAUGUUUCAUUUUGUGGUCUCACCAGUAAAUUAUAUUACUUUUUCUUCCAGGGAAAGGCAGCCCCAUGGUUAGAGAAAAGCCUUUUGGGAUCUGUUCCCCAUCUCCGCUAUCCCUCCCUUCUCCAGUGAACACGGAGAUCCUUAACCUACUUUUCUGUUAUUAUGAGGCUCAGAGCCUGUGCCUGCUCCCUUUGAGGACAACUGGAAUGCUGCCACUGACUUCAAAAAGAGCAUGGGCAGGCUUCUCGUUAGUUAACAUUCGUAAAGUGCUUGGAGGUACUUAGGCAACAGAUGUUACAUAAAUGCGAUUAAUACUGUAACUUCGCCAUCGGUUCUGCAAUGCUACACUGCAACUUGGUCAGCAGGCAUCUUAUUUCACACUGAAGCACCACGUGUUUGCAGGAUUAGGGUUUGGUUAAAUGCAGACGAGGAAUCUUUCCAAAUUAAAUGAAACUAUUCCUCUACAUAAAUGAAGCUUCUACCUCAGUCUCCUAAAUAGGGAGAACUCUUGUUUGUGUGUCUCCGUGUGAAAACUCUUUCAGAAGUAUAUAUUAACACAAGCUCUUUAUUUCUGGUACAGUUAUAAAAUAUAGCUGUUUAGAUGUCGUAUGCUUGAAUCAUCACGGAUGUCCAGGGGAGAGCAAUAUAAUAAUAGAUACAGAAGGCAAAUGCUAUUUAAUACUGAUCAGUCAACCAUUCACGCUAGCUUUUUCCAGUUAAUUGUCAAAAUUCAGUUUUAUCUUCCAGUGACACAGAAAAGUCCACUAACACUGAUGAGCUAUGUAGGUUACGUUAAUACUUUGGUAUAGUUUUUUCAUUGCACAUUCUAUGAAAACAAAGUUAUUUCUUUAUCAUUUUACAGAGUUUACGCUGACGUUUCAAAAUCUAUGGGCAUUUUAAAGCUAUUUCAAACAGGAACCUUCAAAUUAACUUUGGGCAGCGUUGCUGAACUCUCCCAGCUUGAGGCCAGGACAGCCAGAGAUUUGGAAAAGACGUUAGAUUCUUGGACAGACAGUCGGAUGAAUGCGAGUCCUGGCAAUCACCUAUUGAUAUGUAACGGCAGCCAGUGCAGGGAGCGAAAGGUGGAUGGAACGUGCUCACCUGAGAAGUAUCGGUGGCAGAGAGCUGGUAGAAGGAGGCGGAUUGUGUAUAAGUCACAGCUCGUUGCGGCAGCAAUGGCAACGGGCCGGACAGUGAAAUCCAGUGGCUGGAAGGGAGCAACAAGCACAAAUCCCUGCGCUGUGUAGACACGUCCCCCACGUGACGCACGCUUUAUGUCGUAUGAGCAGAGCCAUCAUCCAUUAUGAAAGCUCGAAUAUGCAUUAACUGAUUGAUUUCAUUAUGUUCCAUGAACCAUCGACUUGUUUUCAAAAAUUCAAUCCGCAAGAUAAAAUCCAAUAUCAAAAGUCUUUUGAUAGGUUUUCUAAUAAGAUGUAAAAAUCCCCUUUUGCAUCACACCCCUGCAAUUCUCCAUCUACAUACUUUAUGCAUUUCUGUUGCUCAGAGACUAAAAUGAAUAUUUUAUAGUAGCUCCUUUGUGUAUUGUAAGCACUUUGUUGUCAUCUGCUGCAAGGAUUAAUCAAUUUGGUUAACCUUAAUAAAAAUAACGUAAAUUAUUAAUGUGGCUAUGUAUCUACCAUUGCAGAUACUAGUUUACGUGGUGGAAUUUGCAGAUCAUCCAUGGAAAAUAUACUUGAAGAGCAAAGCAAUGUUGUAAAAAUGAACAUGAGUUCAAUGACAAAAUAAAAACAGAGUACAAAGGAAACCUACUGUGUAUUUGAAGGGGAAAACAUAAUGCACCUUAUCAAAUCAAAUAUUCAGCACUUGUAUUCCCACAUUUCUUUCAUGUCAAGUACAAGAAGAAAGCAAUUCUUGAUAUCGACAGGUGUUCUACUGAUCUUCAACUGCUGGAGAACCUGAGGUACAUGGAUAGUUAGGGCAAAUACUUGGAAGCAGUGCAACUGAUCCGAGCUUUUCAUUUCUUAGACGCAUAAUGUGAGACACUUGGAGUGUGAUGUGAAGAAGUAUUUAGUUCAUUAUUCCAGUCAUGGCCUAGUAAAUGUAAUGCCGUUUCACGCAUCUAGUGAUACAUUCGAUGUCUGAACGCUGUGAGUCACAGCGUUUCCACAGAAGAGGAUGUUCCACCGUUAUUCUCUAUAACUGCUGCUUUGCAGGCACUUUCAAGAUUAGCAUUUUCAAGACUGCUGUUCCCUACUCUACAAGUAUGAGCUUUCAUUCUCUUAAAUUAUUUGUCAACAUUAAAAUGUGGGAUGCUUCUUUGCACUCUGCCCACCAAGUGAUACAGAUCUUUUCCUAUAAAUGUUAAGUUUGCAUUCUUAAUUUCCAUUCCAUCAGCCUUUGUGCUGCGCAGGGAUGUUAAAGCUAACUCUAAACGAGCUCACUACAAGCUCGUGUCACUGAACUGUACCGUGCUCCCAGCUGUCUCCAGGCUUGACCAGUUCCCUUCAGCCGUGUACCAGCUCUGCAGUGCAUACCAUUCCUCAGUCAGUGCAACGACUGGCGAGGAGCAGAUCUAGGUAGAGAAGUGACAUUUGGCUGCAAUUUGCAGGUCACAACCCCAGAAGUGGCACGCGAGUGCCGUUCUCUGAGUUGGCUGAGCUGGUGGAGCCACAGAGAGGAUGGGAAGCUUCUCGCUGAACUUCAUUGCACUACGUGGACAUAACCUUUCUUCUUUCUCUAAAGGUUAUGAGCAACUAUUUUAUACGGUUUUCAAGGUGAUUGUUUAAAAAUUUAGUUUAAUGUAUAGCUGCUUAAAUAAUUUCAAUUCUGUAGUGGAGUUAAAUCGGCAAACUGAGUAAUAAGGGUGGGCAUUUCCUCUACCCCACCUCUAUUCAAAUUCAGCCAACUCAGUAUUUUAUGUCUGUAAAAGCUUUACACUGAAGUUUGGAGAGAAAUGCUGUGUACAGGUUCCUCAUUAAAAAUUUGUUGAUUAAGUGAUAAGGUCAAUGGCAGGUGGCGCCUGAUAUAUAACGCACUGAACCUGAAGAUCCUUCAGACUGGGCUUCCGUUUUGCAGGGAGAAGACAGGGAAAGCAGUUCCCUUGGUUCUGGAUGUCUAGGGAGGGCUGGAUCCAUUCUUCCUCUGUGCCUCUAGCCUCUGUCAUUUGUAGAAGUCUAUAUUCUUUGUUCACAAGGCUGGAGAGGACCAUUUUGUCGCAGUGGUAUGACCUCCUGCACAAAGCGCCACAGGGUUGCCCAGCAUUAGCUGUUGUCUGAACUACAGCACAAAUAUCCCAUCUUGAUGUUAAAAAUGACAGACAUGAGCAAGGGACUGCAACCUUUAAAUGCUCUCAAGUGUUAAAAAAUUGUUCCUUGUUUAUAGUCAGACUAUAUCUAGCAUCAGGGUCGUUUACAGGUAAUGUAUUUCUCCCCUGUGCUUUUAGCAGAGCCAUUUAUUAAGGCAGACCCGGUCCUGCCUAAAAGCUACCAGUCACCGUCAGUCCUUGUGCAGCUCCACUGAAACAAAUACUGUUUGCCUCAGAGAGUCUGCUAGAUGUAAUCUGCCUUUAAAAUACUUCUACAGUCGCAUUUGGACCAUCCACUUCAUUAAUUUUUUUCUUUAGUUCUUCAAAUGAGCCUUGUUCCCAAUUAGGUAGCUUCUUUUUCUCUUCAGUGCUUCUCAAGAGUGGACAAUUGUUGACUAGGAAGUGGUGUGCACCGUAGAACAAGGUCACUGAUUUCAUACUUGAAAAACUACAUGGAAUUGUCAUUUAACAACUUGAUGUUCUUUCUUCAAAUGAUUAUCCUCAUGAACAGAAGCAAGAAAAGCAGAAUAUAAGCCAGCACAGAGACAAAUACAGCAGAUUAUUGCACGAUAUGGAAAGCUGUAGUUCUGUUUUGUGCUUUCGCAGAACAUUCAGGAAAUAUUUUGUUAUAUUUGGUAUUCACACCCUCUUCAUUCAAAGAGAAUCUAAUCUAAUCAAAUAAAUAUGGUAGCAGUGAGAGUCCUUACAUCAAGCACAGGAAGUUUUGUGGUCAAACAAGAAACACAAAAAGCUGUCCAGAACUUCAUAUAGAUGUCAUCUAACAUGAUGGGAAUGAUUUAUUAAUGAGAAUUUCUACCCAUACAGACUGUAAUUUGUCUUAAUUUUAAUAAGGAUCUUAAAUAUAUGUAAAGUUCACCCAAAUGAUGAAUAUCCUCCUGCUCCUGGAGCCCCUCUCACUGCCAAACAACAGCUCCAGCUUGCUGAGAGAAUGCCCUGGGCUACGGCCACGGUGGGCAGAGGCUGGUGUGACCACCACAGAAGACAGUAAAUCUUGGGGCUUUCUUCAGGGUUUGGCCACUUCUCCCACAGGUGAACUAAAUUGUUAGUAUCCAUGCUCAGGUUUGGUUUCCUUGAGCUCUUAAAUGCACUUGACCUGCGUCAUUCUUGCUCUAGUACUAGUGAUCUCGUUAAUGAUGUGCCUACCAAGAUUUUUUUUAUGUGCACCUCUUUUGGUCACUCUUUGCUCAUUUCAAACUUAGUUGCAGUCCUGAAUAAAGCCGCACAGCCACGAGCAAGCUUGGAACAAUACUUAGCAAAUGUUGGGGUUUGUGUGGAUGUCCAUAUUCCUUUCAAAUCGUGCCUUGUUUGACAGUCAUAUGGGUGCACUAUUUGUAAGUCACCAACAUUCUGUUGUUAUUCACCACAUUAUGCAGUUUGUUGCUGAAUAGUUUACUAUUUCUUAGUUUAUUUUUAAUCGCUUUACUCUUAAACAGUUAAGCAAGGAUAUACAUACGUGGACACUGAGAGAAGACUGACUCUGGGCUGUGAAAAGGAGCCAACAUUUUCAAUUACGUGGUCAGUUUACUAUUUCUGCCCUCCAGCAGAAAGUUAGCAUCCAGGCUCCAAAAUAAGAUACUAGCAUUUUAUUGCUAAUGUUGGGCUGGCUAUGGAUAAUAGAUUUAAACUGUUAUAGUCCUAAUGACUUCACCACAGCAACUUAAUUAAGCAAUUGAACGUGACAGGCAGUGCACUGUAGGGGGAUUAUUGCAUGCCUUUAGUAAAGCAUAAAAUAAAGGGCAAAAGAUUUCAGCUACCAAGAAACCUUUGAAAACAAUCUCCCAUCCACCUUGUUGAAACAAAAGAAACCAAUGGAAUUUUAAGAAAGAAGAAAAGAAAAUAGAUCAGUCCUGCAUUUAGCAGUCUGAGGAUAUUUAUCACCAUUCGGAAAAAUCUGCCCAGAAUACUGUAUUUAUUCCUCCUAACACUUUGCAUGGCGAUUUUUACCCUGGAACUACAAAACGAUGCAAGCAAUGGGUUAACAUUAGGGCCCUUCUCUGUGUACUCUGACCAAGAGAAGGAAUCAUUAGGGAACUGUCCUCCAGGUGUGCUUUUGAGGAGGUUUGUCUCCUUUUCUGGAGACAAGUGCAACGAAAUAGUAUUCCCAGCUAGGAGUUAGGGGGAUGGAGCCCAGUUUACUUGAGCCAAACCCUAUAUUAUCAUCAAGACUUUGCCAGACCAAAAUAAUGAUACGAAAUGGAGCAGAUAAAUUUGUACUGACUAAAAACUUGGGUCUAGAUCGAAUUAGACACUACAGAAAUACCCAAAUUGAUUAUUUCACUAAAAUCUAGAGGAGAGCUGUAAUUCUGGCAUGAUAAUAACAAGCACUUUACCUGCACAAGCCGGGUACUUCUCACAAGCACUCUACUGACAGGGGCUGCCAGCAUAGUUGUGCUGGGAAUGCCUUCCAAGUUAAGCCUCACCUUCAGGCUUUCUUAUCUAAACGUAGUGUGUGAGAAAGGGAAUUGAAAAGGUUAGGGCAGUCAGAGCCAAACCAGGAGAAUAUGAAGCUACUCUCCUUUUUAGAGCUUUUGAGGUCAGUAUGCUGCAGACUGCGUGGCGAAAUAAUAAAGAUUUUGAUUAAAUCUGUUUCAAUCUGGAGCAAUGAAACAAAGAAUAACGUGGAGGGUGCUGUGUUUCAGCCUGCGUUUGCAGAAGGGUUUGGCUUUCUUUUGAUCCCUGCUUUUCUACUUGAGUUCUACUACAAGGUCUCACUGGGCUCUAUCCGGUCUUCAGCGUCUGAAGGGAACUGAUUUGUCCCUGCUGGAUGGAUAACUGACCAGUGUCAAGUGCAGGCAGUAGUUAGGUACCAAUGUAUUCAUU